CGCGCGUUUGCCGGGCACCUCUGCUUACACCGGCUUUACGAGGAGCCGACCGGGCAAUGUGACUAAUUCCAAAUGGUGGAUUCAAUACGUGUAGUGAAAAUGCGGAGUCAUCACCUGAAGCAGUGAUUGAGCACCUGGUGGGAAGGCAGAGCCAACCUAGGGCAGCUCAGGUGCAAGCAAUGCACUGAAUGCCUGGAAGGGAUGGAGCCAGCAUCCACCUCUUCUCAGACCUCACUGAAGGGCUGGCAGUGGAGGUGAGGAUAUCUCAUCUGGAGACCCCUGCAUACCUGAGGACCUUGCAAGCCUUCUAAAGGUCUGCAGUAUUUCAAACUUAGAAACAUGCUACUGCUGCAUUUGAGGAAGCAUAUCACUCAAAACAUGCAAGUCUGAAAUGAGAGAG